GACACCUGCACUGGAGGCCCUGGGUUUCCGCGUUCCUGGACGUUGGAGGCUUCAGGAGAUUCCUGCCACUCCACCUUUCUGCAGAGGUAUUGGGUAUCGAAGCCCGGCGUAGUUGCCUCUCGCUGGGUGAAGUCCUUACUGGAUCUUUAGCUCCGUGAAACAGGGGCCUCGUUCAACGUAUUCGCCGCUGUGUCCCCCAGAGCAGGCCCGGGACACACCGGGAGGGUCAGCAACCUCGGGGAAUCAUCACAAGGCUUUUGGUCUCGUGGAAUUUACGUCCUAGGCUGGGGCUACAUAGAAUAUAAAAACUUAGCUAUAGUUUUUGUGUUAGGAAAAUAGAAAUGUUUUGGAUAGUAGGUGUGUUAUGUGAGCCGAAACCGGCAGUUGGAGAAAGUCAGUCACGUGACGACUUGGGGCGGGGGCGUUCACUCCGGUCCUCAGCGAGUGUUAACCCAGAAAGUGCCUUGAGCUAGGCACUAUGCCAACGCGAGAGGCGUGGUCCCUGCCCUUUAGGGACUUUAGAGUUUCGUACCUUGCUACGUUGCUUGGUUGGGAAACCGACAGUAUCAGCAUCAAUAUCAUUUAGGAGUUGAUUAGAAAUGUAUGAACUCCAGGUCCCAUAUUGGAUCCGAAUCGGUGUUUUUACAAGAUCCUGGGAUGACUUCGUAUGCACAAUAGUUUCAGAAAGGCUGGUGGUGUAGACGUUACAAGGCAUAGGCAAAUGUACUUUCUUUUUGCCUUGUGUCUGAAUUGCUCCAGGCCUACAACGGACUUGGGCUCUCUAAUUAAGAUCUGGGCAUUAAGAACCUGGCACCAACCCAAUUUCUGUGCCUGCUGGGGACGCCCUCAACCCAAUUCAUACCACACAGUUUCCCCACAUGUGGUAGAUUUAACACUAGUGGUGCGUGAGAUGAUUUUAAGUUGGUACAUAGAUGAACACUUCCAUUUUUUCCUUUUAAAAAUUUGUAUAAAUUUAAGGGGCGCAAGUACAGUUAUGUUAUAUGGAUAUAUUGCAGUAAUGGUGAAGUCUGGGCUUUUAGUGUACCCAUCACCCGAAUAAUGUACAUGGUACCCAUUAAGUACUUUCUCAUCGUUCACCUCUCUCCCACCCCUCCACCUUUCGGAGUCUCCAUUGUCUGUCAUUCCACACUCUAUGUCCAUGUGUACACCUUAUUUAGCACUGUUCCAUUUUAAUAAUAUAUUUAUUUUGAUUAUGGCAAGCAAUGCUAGUAGUGAAUUUCCUCUUUAAGUACAUUUAUAAAAUAAUAAAAGUUGGUGUAAAAACGUUAAGUAACUUGAUGAUACGGAGAUACAGCAAAAAUCAUGAAUGUGUUAUACAGGUACCAUUGAGUGAAAUCUGGGAAGCAGUGCUCUGAUCAAGCCACCUGCCUGCUUAAAAUUCUUCAACGACAGCCACGUUUUUCAGGAUAAAAUUCAAAUUCAUUAACAUGGCAUACAAAGCUGUCUCCAGUACUUCAAAACCCCAAUUCCCAAGUUAGCUAGCUGCACCCCUGAGUCCAAUCAUUGUAACUUCAUCAUUCAACAGUUCAGGUCAGGUAGGAGGAACACAAAAGUCUCCACACUCAAGUGCACACACACACACACACACACACACACCCACACCUGCUUAUAAUGUCCUCUCAUUCUUAGGUUAUGACCCAAUAUCAGAAAGGGGCAAAAAUAAAUUCUGUUCAAAAUGUGGCAGGAUUUGAAACAUAAUUCAUGAUAUCAGCUACAUAAAUCAUAAAAUCCCAAGUUUGUCAAUUGCAAAAUGUCCUAUUAAGCAUUAAGCUACAAAUUAGGAGUGCCAUCUUGUGGACACAUCCACCACUUCCACAUCAUGUCACCUCCUAGCCAACUCCGUGGCUGUUCUCACUGUGGAGGUCUCUGCCACAACUCCAGCAUUUUAUUGCAGAAGAAAACCCAGUCCUUGAACUGGUUUCUGCGUAGAACACACUGAAAGCCCUGGGAGAGGAAACCAGCAGACAGGAAAAGAGUAGACAUGGAAGAGCAGAUGAGUUCAUUGCUGGAAAGCUCGAAUUGUUAGUUUCGUUAAUGUGGGGUCCAAUUUGACUCUAUGGAGCCUAACUACCUAGCCUGAGCGCUCGCGGUGAGUAUGGGGUGGGAGAAUGUAAAGAGAAAGCAGGCAACAGUAGGAGUAAAACACACCAGAGGAAGGUGAUGUGGGUUUAUACUUGGGAACAACAUUACCUUGCCAUCUUAGGGCCAGAGGCAUUAAUCAUGGCUUCCCCAAUGCAUAAUUUCGAUGUUGGCAUUUCCUUCCCCAUUCCUUUCAGAAUCCUACCCUGUCAGGUAUUAUCUCUGAUGAAAUAUUCCCUGGGCCAGGCACAGUGGCUCAUGCCUGUAAUCCCAGCACUAUGGGAGGCCAAGGUGGGUGGAUCACCUGAGGUCAGGAGUUCAAGACCAGCCUGGCCAACGUGGCAAAACCCUGUCUCUACUGAAAAAAAAAUACAAAAAUUAGCCGGGCAUGGUGGCAGUUGACUGAAAUCUUAGAUACUCGGGAGGCUGAGGCAGGGAGAAUUGCUUGAACCUGGGAGGCGGAAGUUGCAGUGAGCCGAGAUCACUGCCAUUGUACUCCAGCCUAGGCGACACAGCGAGACUCUGUCUCGGGGGGGAAAAAAAAGUUCAUAUCAAUUUCUAAUAUUCUAUAAUUAUUGUUUUUGGUCACAUAUACUUUUUCCAUGUAUUGAGGUGAACAGAUUGGUCUUAUUCUGUGUUAAGUUAUAUUGAUUGAUUCAAAUUAUAAAUAAACCUUUCAUUCCUGUUAUAAACCCAA
ensembl:lncRNA novel transcript